GAAAAGAAACAAAGUGGGUUGAACGAAGGAGGCUAAUGAUUAAGGAGAAAUGAACUUGGAGAUGUUUCUAAUCACCAUCGAGGAUAUGGAAGAGAUUGAGUUGGAGUCGGAACCGGAAAAAUACAGCUGAGAUGUUUUAUUAAGAAAUUAUGAAUUAAAAAAAUUUGGAUUAUUUUAAACAAAAAGAGAAAUGGACUUGGAGAUGUUUCUAACCACCAUCGAGGAUAUGGAAGAGAUUGAGUUGGAGUCGAAACCGGAAAAAUAAAGGAGAAAUGGACUUGGAGAUGUUUCUAAUCAACAUCGAGGAUAAUGGAAAGAGUGAGUUGGAGUUGGAACCGGAAAAAUAAAGGU